CAGGAUCUUGCCGUAAAACAGAAGCAAAUAGGGACGAACGCUUACAUCACAAUGGUUAAGCGUAUUUUUAAGGAUUUUAAAAAAACAAACUCAGCAAACCAAUUCAACUUUACAUAAGCCUGUUGGGCCAGGAUCUUGCCGUAAAACAGAAGCAAAUAGGGACGAACGCUUACAUCACAAUGGUUAAGCGUAUUUUUAAGGAUUUUAAAAAAACAAACUCAGCAAACCAAUUCAACUUUACAUUCAUCUUUACAUGCAUCGGUACAGGACCUGUACCUUAUACAUCAAACCAAAAAACAAGAAUUCAAAGAAACAAAAUACUAACUAAAACUAAAAGUCAUCCGAAAUCAAUCGAGGGCAACAUAACCUAACAACUAAGGAUGCGACUCUUAUAAUUGAGAGAAAAGAAGAAGCAGAAAAAAAACAUAUUACAACAUUUUGAAGCUUCAGAUAUUUCAUCAAAAGAAAAACAGCAACAAGUGUAAUAAGAUCAACUCAGGAGAAAACAGUUCACAGUACAGCGAACGCAAGGUCUAAUAGAAUAACCAAAGUUCAUCUAUAAAAUCAACAAACUCAACACGAGAUGAACCCAACUAGAACAUAUCUCAAAAGGGGAACGAGUUCUUUAGCAGAAAGAGUUACCUAACGCGGACCCAUUGUUGUUGUAUUUUUGGCUUGCGAGCGAUGUUGCUUCUACACUGAGUCACUGCAUCCUUAGCAUCGUCUAAACUGUGACCUCCUUUGACCGCAUCAAUUGCUAAUACCAG
rnacentral:lncRNA from 1 species